UGAUUUGUUACUCUUCAUCUUGCCUGAACAGAAGACGAAAUCUGGGUAGAUUCUCAGUCUCCCAGUUCAUCGUACUUCCCCAGCAGAAGUGGAGGAGGAAUAAGAAAAGAAGAAACAAGUUUUCUUUGCAGAUUCUCAAUCAACCAGGGCUUUGCAAUGCCACGACAACUUGACGUGAGCCGAAGAGAAAAAAAAAA